AAUUUCUUGGUGAGAGCGGCGAACGGGUGAGUAAUACGUGAGCAACCUGCCUCGAAGUUCGGGAUAGCCCGCCGAAAGGCGGAUUAAUACCGGAUGUGGUCCCCCGGUGCAUACCGGGGUGUCUAAAGAUGGGGAUCUUCGGACCUGUCGCUUCGAGAUGGGCUCGCGUCCUAUCAGCUUGUUGGCGGGGUAAUGGCCCACCAAGGCGAUGACGGGUAGCUGGUCUGAGAGGAUGGUCAGCCACACUGGGACUGAGACACUGCCCAGACUCCUACGGGAGGCUGCAGUCGAGAAUCAUUGUCAAUGCGCGAAAGCGUGAACAUGCGACGCCGCGUGCAGGAUGACGGCCUUCGGGUUGUAAACUGCUGUCAUGAGGGAACAAAGCUUGCGCGUGAACAGCGCGGGAGUUUGAUUGUACCUCAAGAGGAAGCCACGGCUAACUCUGUGCCAGCAGCCGCGGUAAUACAGAGGUGGCGAGCGUUGUUCGGAAUCACUGGGCGUAAAGGGUGCGUAGGCGGUCCGGUAUGUCGGAUGUGAAAUAUUGCGGCUCAACCGCGAAAGGUCAUUCGAAACUGCCGAACUGGAGUACUGGAGAGGAGAGCGGAAUUCUUGGUGUAGCGGUGAAAUGCGUAGAUAUCAAGAAGAACGCCGGUGGCGAAGGCGGCUCUCUGGACAGAUACUGACGCUGAGGCACGAAAGCUGGGGGAGCAAACAGGAUUAGAUACCCUGGUAGUCCCAGCCGUAAACGUUGUGCACUUGGUGUAGGAGGAAUUAUCCCCUUCUGUGCCGGAGUUAACGCGUUAAGUGCACCGCCUGGGGAGUACGGCCGCAAGGCUAAAACUCAAAGGAAUUGACGGGGGCCCGCACAAGCGGUGGAGCAUGUGGCUUAAUUCGAUGCAACGCGAAGAACCUUACCUGGGCUUGACAUGGAGAGGCUUCGGCCUAAACCGGUGAAAGUCGGUUGAACUCACACAGGUGCUGCAUGGCUGUCGUCAGCUCGUGCCGUGAGGUGUUGGGUUAAGUCUCGCAUCGAGCGCAACGCCUGUCGUUAGUUUCCACUGCCGCAGAAAUGCGGGAAGCAGUCUAGCGAGACUGCCUGUGUCAAGCAGGAGGAAGGUGGGGAUGAUGUCAAGUCAGUAUGGUCUUUAUGCCCAGGGGUGCACUCGUGUUACAAUGGGCG
rnacentral:rRNA from 1 species